ensembl:snoRNA
AACCUUUGUGGUUCCUAAGUUAGAUUAGUGUUCACUCAUCUGCUUGACAUCUGCCUCCCUCUAACCUUGUUACAUUAUUGGCACAUUAUCCAUCCCAUG